CCACUUUAUGCCUCAGCAGUUAUUUUUGUUCAUAGCUAUAAUUUCGUAAAGAGGUUUGUGUGCCCUGGGGUUUCUGGUAACUCUACAAUUCAUGGCGUACUGCUGUAAUGAGGUACAAAGUGCUAUGUGUUUAUUCAGAGGAUGCCAGCCCGUGCAAGAGAGAAAAACUUGAAUUCUCUAUGUAAUAAAAUACCCUGAUGACUGGAAAUUAAGGCAUGAUUAAUGGCAAGGGCAGACUAUUCAGCAUUUUGGUUCAUAGAAAACCAAGACCUUAGCUAUAAAUGAACCACAGCCAGAUGUGAACAUCAUCUAUCCUUCUGUUCCUGAAAAACAAGGAAGACAUCAGAAAAAAAAAAACCAAAAAACCCCACUCUUUGGGUAACAGAUGUAAUGAGGAUGGUCAUGAGGGCAGCUGAGCAAACACCAGUUAGGAUCUGAUGGAUACAAACUGAAGCAGUUCUGGGAAACCUUGUCCUCUCUUCACUGCUUCAACUCAAGUGGCAUCAACCUUAGUGUAACA
ensembl:lncRNA